UGGGGAAUUUUGGACAAUGGGCGAAAGCCUGAUCCAGCAAUGCCGCGUGUGUGAAGAAGGCCUUCGGGUUGUAAAGCACUUUUGUCCGGAAAGAAAUCCUUGGCUCUAAUACAGUCGGGGGAUGACGGUACCGGAAGAAUAAGCACCGGCUAACUACGUGCCAGCAGCCGCGGUAAUACGUAGGGUGCAAGCGUUAAUCGGAAUUACUGGGCGUAAAGCGUGCGCAGGCGGUUUGCUAAGACCGAUGUGAAAUCCCCGGGCUCAACCUGGGAACUGCAUUGGUGACUGGCAGGCUAGAGUAUGGCAGAGGGGGGUAGAAUUCCACGUGUAGCAGUGAAAUACGUAGAGAUGUGGAGGAAUACCGAUGGCGAAGGCAGCCCCCUGGGCCAAUACUGACGCUCAUGCACGAAAGCGUGGGGAGCAAACAGGAUUAGAUACCCUGGUAGUCCACGCCCUAAACGAUGUCAACUAGUUGUUGGGGAUUCAUUUCCUUAGUAACGUAGCUAACGCGUGAAGUUGACCGCCUGGGGAGUACGGUCGCAAGAUUAAAACUCAAAGGAAUUGACGGGGUCAUAGCUGUUUCCU
rnacentral:rRNA from 1 species